rnacentral:tRNA from 2 species
GAGCUGUUAGCUUAAGGUAAAAGCACUCAGUCCUUUGCUGAGAAGAUGGUGUUCAAAGCAUCACAGCUCAC